rnacentral:rRNA from 1 species
GGGGAGCAGGAGAUAAUUGAGACUAUAAAAUCGAUUAAAAUUUUUUAGAAAAAAGAUUUGGUCAUGUUAAUAAAAUUUAUUAGUUUUGCCCACGCAAAAAUGGUUAAUAAACGAACUGUUUAAGCGGCGUAGAGAUAAUGAAGGUGACUGAAAAAAAACUUCAAAAAAGUUUUUGUAAAUCGGAAAAAGUUUUUAUCUUUGCACUCGCAAAUCUGAAACGACUGACAGAAGAGAUUUCGGAGGAAGCGAAAAGAAUAAAAGAUCAUUGAAAAUAAAAUAACAACCAAGUAAGAAAAACCAAAGCGUCAAUUUUAAAUUGAGUUGAGUUUAAGGAAUACAAACAUACAAUGGAGAGUUUGAUCCUGGCUCAGGAUGAACGCUAGCGGGAGGCCUAACACAUGCAAGCCGAGCGGUAGAGAUUCUUCGGAAUCUUGAGAGCGGCGUACGGGUGCGGAACACGUGUGCAACCUGCCUUUAUCAAGGGGAUAGCCUUUCGAAAGGAAGAUUAAUACCCUAUAAUAUAUUGACUGGCAUCAGUUGAUAUUGAAAACUACGGUGGAUAAAGAUGGGCACGCGCAAGAUUAGCUAGUUGGUGAGGUAACGGCUCACCAAGGCGACGAUCUUUAGGGGGCCUGAGAGGGUGAUCCCCCACACUGGUACUGAGACACGGACCAGACUCCUACGGGAGGCAGCAGUGAGGAAUAUUGGACAAUGGGUGCAAGCCUGAUCCAGCCAUCCCGCGUGUAGGAAGACGGCCCUAUGGGUUGUAAACUACUUUUAUCUGGGGAUAAACCUACUUACGUGUAAGUAGCUGAAGGUACCAGAUGAAUAAGCACCGGCUAACUCCGUGCCAGCAGCCGCGGUAAUACGGAGGGUGCAAGCGUUAUCCGGAUUUAUUGGGUUUAAAGGGUCCGUAGGCGGGCUGAUAAGUCAGUGGUGAAAUCCGACAGCUUAACUGUCGAACUGCCAUUGAUACUGUCAGCCUUGAGUAAGGUUGAAGUGGCUGGAAUAAGUAGUGUAGCGGUGAAAUGCAUAGAUAUUACUUAGAACACCAAUUGCGAAGGCAGGUCACUAAGUCUUAACUGACGCUGAUGGACGAAAGCGUGGGGAGCGAACAGGAUUAGAUACCCUGGUAGUCCACGCCGUAAACGAUGAUUACUCGUUUUUGGGUUUUAGGAUUCAGAGACUAAGCGAAAGUGAUAAGUAAUCCACCUGGGGAGUACGUUCGCAAGAAUGAAACUCAAAGGAAUUGACGGGGGCCCGCACAAGCGGUGGAGCAUGUGGUUUAAUUCGAUGAUACGCGAGGAACCUUACCAAGACUUAAAUGGGAAAUGACAGAUUUAGAAAUAGAUCCUUCUUCGGACAUUUUUCAAGGUGCUGCAUGGUUGUCGUCAGCUCGUGCCGUGAGGUGUUAGGUUAAGUCCUGCAACGAGCGCAACCCCUGUCACUAGUUGCUAACAUUAAGUUGAGGACUCUAGUGAGACUGCCUACGCAAGUAGAGAGGAAGGUGGGGAUGACGUCAAAUCAUCACGGCCCUUACGUCUUGGGCCACACACGUGCUACAAUGGCCGGUACAGAGGGCAGCUACCUAGUGAUAGGAUGCAAAUCUCGAAAGCCGGUCUCAGUUCGGAUUGGAGUCUGCAACUCGACUCUAUGAAGCUGGAAUCGCUAGUAAUCGCGCAUCAGCCAUGGCGCGGUGAAUACGUUCCCGGGCCUUGUACACACCGCCCGUCAAGCCAUGGAAGCUGGGGGUACCUGAAGUCGGUGACCGUAAAAGGAGCUGCCUAGGGUAAAACUAGUAACUAGGGCUAAGUCGUAACAAGGUAGCCGUACCGGAAGGUGCGGCUGGAACAUCUCAUUUU